rnacentral:lncRNA from 1 species
CAUGCUGGAGCGCAUGUUGUGAUGUAGGCUCCAGACGCUUUGAUUGCUUUGAUUGCUUGUGCGCGUUUUAGGUGACUAUAGCACCAGCUUGUGGUUGCUGUACCGCAUACUUCAGUGAAUAGUACGUCGAAGACAGAAUGGAGAACUUGAGGAGUUAUCGGUUACUGUGAUCGCGUAUAACUUAGCCGACUGGCGACGUUAUGGCCACUGAGAUCAACGUUUGUUCCGAACCACGGAGUUCCGAACCAUGGAGCAUCCAUGGAGGAAGGAAACAAUUUUCCCAACCAACUAGUGAAACUGUGACAACUAGUGAACUGGUAGGUGUUCUGUGGUGACACUUUACCUUAUGACGCUCCUUUGUUGCUAAUGUCGUACGUGCACAAGCUCGUUCGUGUUGAAACUACGGAGGGGGAUGUUCUCGCUGGUUACGUUAAGACAGUCGACCAAAUCUCCGAAAGGUCUCACCGCCGCCUUGGACAAUUUCUUCGCAGCCACUGGGUACUGAGGGCCAAGGGUCAAUUGCUGUAUUCACGGAAGGUUGCGGCCAGGUACUGCACCAGGGUGGCCAAUCCUGCUCUGGUGAAGGAGUCCAUUACCGGCAGCUGGUCGCCAGUGAUGCCGCACUGCAGACCUCUUGUUAUUGUUUUCUUUUUUUAAUGAUACUUUAUCACGCAUUUUAAGUAAGUAUGCGAUUGGGAAUGGUUCGGUAUCUGCAUUCGAGCUGAAUUUUGUCAUUCCAUGCUAGGUUGCUGCGCUACCUCUAAGAAGAGGGUUCUGCUGCACUUUCUUAGCAUUGUAGAAUACCACCUUACUGCCUAUCAGCUCUGAACUUCACAUGAUUCGUAGUUCAUCUGGUUUUUUUCUCAACUGUUUCAAAGUCCCUAUUUCCAUUAUUAAAAAAAAACAGCAAAGUUUCGAACUUCUAACCUUGUGAGCUUAGCCCAGCUGAGUGCCCUGGAUAAACCCUCCUUCUCAUGCGUUUAUUAUCUCCUAACUUCUUCCUGUCUCGCUGAAUUUUGACAUUAUUGGCUUAAAAAUGUCCACAGUGUCGGAGUUUUGCUGUUGCAUUCCCACUCUGACGUUUCCUGACAACUGAUGAGUAGCUUGUCUGAUUGCCUACUUCUAUGUGAUUGUUAUGUUGAGAGUAUGUUUUACGGGCAGUUGAUGUGCAUGAAAAUAAAUGCAAAAAGUUUCCAAGUGCUGACAGGUGCUGUCUUUAAGGCUGUAUCCUAUUUUGUUGGUGGUUUGGAGUAGUAAUUAAAACUCUGGUAAAUAGAUAUAGAAGUAGACAGUGGCCCUCAGUCGGGAGGCAGAUAUACGUACUAGUAAUUACAUCUAUGGUUAGCCUAAUAACAUUGGAUGAAAAGGUAAGGAACAUAUUAUUUCUAGUUCUAGAAAGCGGCGAAAGGCAUGAAACUUCGUACGAAAGUAAUGACGUGUUUGCAUCACUGACCACAAAGUGUCAGCUUGAAUUUCUAGACUUCGACGACAAGGGGAGGGUCGUCCACCAUUCUGUGGUAGUUAUAGCUUUAAAACAUUUUUCAGUGGCUUUUUUUUUUGCCUGAAUUUUCAAGUCUCUGUUUCACCUUUAUUGUGCUUUACAGUGAGCCAUUAGCGUGAUAUCGGUGAGCACUAGGAGGAGGAAAAAACUGGGUUAGGUCAGCCACUUCUCAGUACGAUGUUCGGAAGUUUGACUAUCUCUCCAAAUCGAACUAUAAAAAUGCACUAUAUAGGUUUCUGCAUAAAAAUGAAUUGAUUCCGCUGCCUGUAAAUUCAGAUUCUUUUGUUUUGUCUCUCUAAUAAAUAAAAGACUCAUUGGAAGUAUAAUUGACUGGGGGUUAGAUCAUCAUUUUUAUUCACAAUUAUCACCUCCUACAAUGAAUGCAAUAAGUGAUGAGGAAUUCACUGAAAUUUCUGGGGCUGAAUUAUCGAAGGUGUUAUCUAGCCUUCCAUCAGCCGCUCCGGGCCUGGACGGAGUCACCACGGCUAUGCUGAAAGUGCUAAAUAAGGAAUGCCAAGAAUAUUUAUUAGAUGUGUAUAAUUACUUAUUAUGAAUGGCGUGGCUCCCAUCAGAGUGAAAGAUUCGGAAGGUGAUACCUUUACUUAAAAAUCCGGGUAAGGGAUAUGUUUUGGGCAGCAUUGGGCCUAUCGUGCUAACUCCAAUAUUUGUAAAAUUGAUAGAAAAAUAUUUGCAUCCUCAUUUUAAUCAAUGAACAUGCAACACUAAAUUCAUACCAAAUUGGCUUCUCAGCAGGAUGCUCUAUAUGUCAGGCUCAUAUAGACCUUGAAGACUCGCAUUCAGUUGGCUAGGUGUGAAAGGAAAUAUGCUGUGUUAGUCCCACUGGACAGGGUAGAGCACGUAGUUCUAAAUAAUCGGCUCCAAAACCGUAACUUUCCGAGAUAUAUUCAGGCAUGGAUUGUGAAAUUCUUACGAGAUAGAACGUUCUUCUGUUUCCAAAGCGGGAUAUCUCAUCUGCUACACGUAUUCGCACACAAGAGGCAUCCCCCCUCAAGCGGCAGUCCUUUCACUAGUGUUAUUCAAUAUCUUAAUGAGCUCUAUUCCACGACAUACGGACUUACAGACAUAUGUGUAUGCUGAUGACAUUGCAUUUUUUUUGCAUCAGAAGAUGAUAUUCACAAACUAUACACCAUAUUACAGGCAUAAACAGCCAUAGAAAGUUGGCUACAUGAUAUGCAUUUGUACUUAAAUGUCAGCAAAUGCUCUUUGCUGACAGUCCCUUUAAAAUACCCUAUUUACAUGUCACUCUAUCAUCAUCUGACAAAUAAAGGGGUGCAACAGCUGUGCCAAUUUGAUACAAUUCCCCUUCGUUGCGCCGAGCUGUGCCAAAACCACGAAAUUUGCUGAAAUUGCGUCACGCUGUGCCAAAAUGCCCGACCAUGCAGCCUCAAACUUAUCUAACAUGCGUUAAAUUUAGCGCGAAAUGGAGGCCACAUUGGCCACCUGCACUUUGCGUCAUCAAUCAAACCAAGCAACAGACCCGAACCAUAAAGCACGGAGCAAGUUAUAUAUACUUGUUAGGUGACGACACUCGCGAAUCGCGGUCGACCAUAUAAAGUAUAAAAUGAAGUAACAACUCUACGCACCUUGUUCUAUAGACAAUCCAAUUUGUUGCAGCAAGUUGCUGCAAGUGUUAUGUAUGACUGUAUCGUUGCGUUGCGGUUUUAUAAAUAAAUGGCUAUUUUCCA